GCAGCCUGAUGCAGCAACGCCGCGUGAGGGACGACGGCCUUCGGGUUGUAAACCUCUUUUAGCAAGGAAGAAGCGAAAGUGACGGUACUUGCAGAAAAAGCACCGGCUAACUACGUGCCAGCAGCCGCGGUAAUACGUAGGGUGCAAGCGUUAUCCGGAAUUAUUGGGCGUAAAGAGCUCGUAGGCGGUUUGUCGCGUCUGCUGUGAAAUCUGGGGGCUCAACCCCCAGCCUGCAGUGGGUACGGGCAGACUAGAGUGCGGUAGGGGAGAUUGGAAUUCCUGGUGUAGCGGUGGAAUGCGCAGAUAUCAGGAGGAACACCGAUGGCGAAGGCAGAUCUCUGGGCCGUAACUGACGCUGAGGAGCGAAAGGGUGGGGAGCAAACAGGCUUAGAUACCCUGGUAGUCCACCCCGUAAACGUUGGGAACUAGUUGUGGGGACCAUUCCACGGUGUCCGUGACGCAGCUAACGCAUUAAGUUCCCCGCCUGGGGAGUACGGCCGCAAGGCUAAAACUCAAAGGAAUUGACGGGGACCCGCACAAGCGGCGGAGCAUGCGGAUUAAUUCGAUGCAACGCGAAGAACCUUACCAAGGCUUGACAUAUACGAGAACGGGCUAGAAAUAGUCAACUCUUUGGACACU
rnacentral:rRNA from 1 species